rnacentral:rRNA from 1 species
CCUACGGGUGGCAGCCGUGAGGAAUAUUGGUCAAUGGACGAGAGUCUGAACCAGCCAAGUAGCGUGAAGGAUGACUGCCCUAUGGGUUGUAAACUUCUUUUAUAUGGGAAUAAAAUGUUCCACGUGUGGGCUUUUGUAUGUACCAUAUGAAUAAGGAUCGGCUAACUCCGGUCCAGCAGCCGCGGUAAUACGGAGGAUCCGAGCGUUAUCCGGAUUUAGUGGGUUUAAAGGGAGCGUAGGUGGAUUGUUAAGUCAGUUGUGAAAGUUUGCGGCUCAACCGUAAAAUUGCAGUUGAAACUGGCAGUCUUGAGUACAGUAGAGGUGGGCGGAAUUCGUGGUGUAGCGGUGAAAUGCUUAGAUAUCACGAAGAACUCCGAUUGCGAAGGCAGCUCACUGGACUGCAACUGACACUGAGGCUCGAAAGUGUGGGUAUCAAACAGGAUUAGAUACCCGGGUAGUC